UUCGUUCAUAUGCCCGUCCGUUCGUCCGCGACGUUCGUCAGAUUCUCCGUCAAUCUGUCGCCUAGUCAUUCAACUAACACUUGGUGUAUGCAUAUACGUGUAAAUGUGUAUAGUUAUAUAUGCAGUAAUAUUUGUAGCUGUGUGUAUAUAAAACAGCUCUGCUUUGGCUUUACUCUCUUUAAAAUAUAUAUAUAUAUUUAUAUAUAUAUAAAUAUAUAUAUGCUCAUAUAUAUGUAUAUGUACAUUAUUUUCUAUAAGCAGCCUCGAUACGAAACGAUAUGAAAUGAAUAUAUACGCCUCAUAUGAAACUCUGCUAUGUAUACAUAACCUACAAAAAUGUUUAUAUACAUGUACAUGAUGUGGUGGUAAUACAGCACGGCACAGCUCAGUAUAACACACAACUAUUGCGAACGAACGAACGAACACGAUGACUAUGUGUGACUGAGAGCCAAGGCAGCAAAAUAACAACUACAACGUUCCACAAUGAUUAGUGUAUAUGUACUGGCGGUGUUGUGUUUUUUACAGUAGCCAUAAUUUCUAUUCGUUUUAAUUGUGUCGUAAUUUUUUUUCCCAAUUCGACCAUCGAAAGGUUUCGUUAUCGUUUAGCAAUAGUUUUAGAUUUUUUUUUCGGGUUUAGUUAUAUUAAAGUAAUUCACACCUAACUCGCAGAGAAAACAAUUUCUAUUAAAGUGAUCAAAAAACUGGGAAACUUCCAGCGAUUUCUUACAAGAUUUUUAUUGGAUUUAAGGAAAGGAAACAAAGAAAUUACUUUCUGUAAUUCUUAAUACUUGUAAUUUCAUCUCCAGAUCACUUGAUUAAUUUCAUUAUGAAUUAUACAAACGAACAGAUAUCAUUGAUAUUCGAAGUAUCUCACCUUACGUGUGGACGUAACUACAGCGCUGCAUUACAGAAAGAGAAAGGAAAGGAAAAGGAGUUUAUUGAAUUGAAACAUUGUUAAGUAAAAAGAGGAGUGAAAAAAGGUCCAGUUAAGCAGUAAAACAGAAAAAUGAACAGAAGAUUAUAGGAUACAAUAAGGUAAUAACUUUAGCAGUCUCUUCUGCAAUACUCAGAACAACUUGCUUGCCAAGCAAAACGUAUCGAUUUCUGUUUAAUACUACAUUUUGAGACGAUUGUUCAACUGCUUUUAUAUAUAACUCAGAGCAAAAGUUAAGGUAGACGCCUAAAAUUAAGUCAACAUCAAAAUUCCCGAAAUUUUCCAACGAUCAGACUAUCUACUUACACAGUAUCAAAACUGGUUACACUCUUGGUGAACUAAGAAGGAAGGAGAAAACUCGAAAUUUUGCCAACAGUCAGGACUGAUAACUUUUAAGUGGAAGUCGUUCCUUAGAAAGAAAAAAUAUUUAUUUAAGAAAAAUAUUGAAGAUUCGAGAAGCUAGGUCAUGUCUCGGCAGACUUUGUCAACCUCAAGAGUGACCGUAUAAUUUUACCUGGCACUUUAUUUCGCUGGCUGACUGGUUAUAUCUUGUGUAAAUGGUUCGAAAUGUGGGAAUGGAACUCAACUCAACAGCACAGAAAGAAGAAAAAAAUUAAAAAAAACAAAAAGUAAAAAUAAAAAU